GCUGUUGUGGCUCAGUUGGUAGAGCAAUUGAUUCGUAAUCAAUAGGCCGGAGGUUCGAUCCCUCUCAACAGCACCA
rnacentral:tRNA from 1 species